rnacentral:rRNA from 1 species
CCUACGGGCGGCAGCAGUGAGGAAUCUUGGUCAAUGGACGGAAGUCUGAACCAGCCAUGCCGCGUGCAGGAAGACGGCUCUAUGAGUUGUAAACUGCUUUUGUACAAGGGUAAACCUGAAUACGUGUAUUCAGCUGAAAGUACUGUACGAAUAAGGAUCGGCUAACUCCGUGCCAGCAGCCGCGGUAAUACGGAGGAUCCAAGGGUUAUCCGGAUUUAUUGGGUUUAAAGGGUGCGUAGGCGGAUUGAUAAGUUAGAGGUGAAAUGUCCGAGCUUAACUCGGGAAUUGCAUCUGAUACUGGUGAUCUAGAGAGUAGAUGCGGUAGGCGGAAUGUAUGGUGUAGCGGUGAAAUGCUUAGAGAUCAGACAGAACACCGGUUGCGAAGGCAGCUUACUAAUCUAUAUCUGACGUUGAGGCACGAAAGCGUGGGGAGCAAACAGGAUUAGAUACCCUAGUAGUC